CACAUUGAGCAAGAUAAUUAUACGGUUUUUAAAUUAGAUUUAUUAAUAUGGUGUAUGGUAUUAAAGGAUUUCCUAAUAUUGAAUCAACCUAGUAUUCCUGGAGUAAGUUAAAAACUAGUAUAUUACGUGUGAAAUUUUAUUUCAUACUGGGGAAUUCAAUGCUUGAACUGUUUUAGUAGAUAAUUAUUAUAAAAUGCCAGAAAUGUUAAAUACAAAGUUAGCUAUCAAAUGCUACCUAGACAUAAUCCUAUGC
rnacentral:lncRNA from 1 species